GGGGACGAUAUAGGUUUCGACGGAAAGUACUUUGACAAGACUGCAAGCCAAGUUUGAUCCGAACUUGUAAAAAUGGAUCGAAAACCAAACGUCAACUAUACGAGACGUCUGGCUGAUCGCGCAGAGGCGUUUUUGGCCAGCUUGGUCGCAAGACCAGCUCUGAAUAUGCUUUACGCUUAAAGCCGGUGUUCGCGAAAUUUCGCUUUCAGGCCGUAUUCGCGGGCAUAAACCGCCUGAAUUAGUUUUUGGUUUUUGACCUUAAACCAAAGAUGAAGUAUUAAGGUAUUACUUUAGUCUCAUUUGCUGUUUUUUUAGAUUAAAGGAAAUAAUUAAAACAGAUAAGCUUGUAGAGGUUUUGUUGAUUAACUUUUCGGACGAGGGUUCGAAUCCCUCCGUCUCCACUA
rnacentral:tmRNA from 2 species